UAUAAGCAAUCUAUACUGUGAAACUGCGAAUGGCUCAUUAAAUCAGUUAUCGUUUAUUUGAUAGUACCUUACUACUUGGAUAACCGUGGUAAUUCUAGAGCUAAUACAUGCUAAAAACCCCGACUUCGGGAGGGGUGUAUUUAUUAGAUAAAAAACCAAUGCCCUUCGGGGCUCUUUGGUGAUUCAUGAUGACUUAACGAAUCGCAUGGCCUUGCGCCGGCGAUGGUUCAUUCAAAUUUCUGCCCUAUUAACUUUCGAUGGUAGGAUAGAGGCCUACCAUGGUAUCAAUGGGUAACGGGGAAUUAGGGUUCUAUUCCGGAGAGGGAGCCUGAGAAACGGCUACCACAUCCAAGGAAGGCAGCAGGCGCGCAAAUUACCCAAUCCCGACACGGGGAGGUAGUGACAAUAAAUACUGAUACAGGGCUCUUUUGGGUCUUGUAAUUGGAAUGAGUACAAUUUAAAUACCUUAACGAGGAACAAUUGGAGGGCAAGUCUGGUGCCAGCAGCCGCGGUAAUUCCAGCUCCAAUAGCGUAUAUUAAAGUUGUUGCAGUUAAAAAGCUCGUAGUUGAACCUUGGGCCUGGCUGGCCGGUCCGCCUCACCGCGUGUACUGGUCCGGCCGGGCCUUUCCUUCUGGGGAUCCGCAUGGCCUUCACUGGCUGUGUCGGGGAACCAGGACUUUUACUUUGAAAAAAUUAGAGUGUUCAAAGCAGGCCUUUGCUCGAAUACAUUAGCAUGGAAUAAUAGAAUAGGACGUGCGGUCCUAUUUUGUUGGUUUCUAGGACCGCCGUAAUGAUUAAUAGGGAUAGUCGGGGGCAUCAGUAUUCAAUUGUCAGAGGUGAAAUUCUUGGAUUUAUUGAAGACUAACUACUGCGAAAGCAUUUGCCAAGGAUGUUUUCAUUAAUCAGUGAACGAAAGUUAGGGGAUCGAAGACGAUCAGAUACCGUCGUAGUCUUAACCGUAAACUAUGCCGACUAGGGAUCGGGCGAUGUUAUUCUUUUGACUCGCUCGGCACCUUACGAGAAAUCAAAGUCUUUGGGUUCU
rnacentral:rRNA from 1 species